rnacentral:hammerhead_ribozyme from 1 species
AUUCAACUGACGAGUCUCAAAUAGGAUGAGACGCGCAUCCUGUAU